UGGGGAAUAUUGGACAAUGGGGGGAACCCUGAUCCAGCCAUGCCGCGUGUGUGAAGAAGGCCUUAUGGUUGUAAAGCACUUUAAGCGAGGAGGAGGCUCUCUUGGUUAAUACCCAAGAUGAGUGGACGUUACUCGCAGAAUAAGCACCGGCUAACUCUGUGCCAGCAGCCGCGGUAAUACAGAGGGUGCGAGCGUUAAUCGGAUUUACUGGGCGUAAAGCGUGCGUAGGCGGCUUUUUAAGUCGGAUGUGAAAUCCCCGAGCUUAACUUGGGAAUUGCAUUCGAUACUGGGAAGCUAGAGUAUGGGAGAGGAUGGUAGAAGUCCAGGUGUAGCGGUGAAAUGCGUAGAGAUCUGGAGGAAUACCGAUGGCGAAGGCAGCCAUCUGGCCUAAUACUGACGCUGAGGUACGAAAGCAUGGGGAGCAAACAGG
rnacentral:rRNA from 1 species